CCUACGGGAGGCAGCAGUGGGGAAUAUUGCACAAUGGGCGCAAGCCUGAUGCAGCCAUGCCGCGUGUAUGAAGAAGGCCUUCGGGUUGUAAAGUACUUUCAGCGGGGAGGAAGGUGUUGUGGUUAAUAACCGCAGCAAUUGACGUUACCCGCAGAAGAAGCACCGGCUAACUCCGUGCCAGCAGCCGCGGUAAUACGGAGGGUGCAAGCGUUAAUCGGAAUUACUGGGCGUAAAGCGCACGCAGGCGGUCUGUCAAGUCGGAUGUGAAAUCCCCGGGCUCAACCUGGGAACUGCAUUCGAAACUGGCAGGCUAGAGUCUUGUAGAGGGGGGUAGAAUUCCAGGUGUAGCGGUGAAAUGCGUAGAGAUCUGGAGGAAUACCGGUGGCGAAGGCGGCCCCCUGGACAAAGACUGACGCUCAGUGCGAA
rnacentral:rRNA from 1 species